UCUUUCUGUAGCUUGUGUGGAGAUGGUGACACUAUAUACAAUGGAUUGAGUUAGGAGUACAUUAUAUUUUAGCGGAAUAUUAAGUCUGUGCAAUACGCAAAUAGUAGUGUUAUUUGUUUAGAAUACAAAUAUACAUAUAUACAUGAAUAUGUUUGAAAAUGUUUUGAUUAGAAAUCUGUAUUUGGAUAUAUUAAUACUAACAAUUAAAUGGAUUAUACUAAAAGAAUUGCGGAUAUAUAGAGUUAUAGGUUUUGGAAACAAAAGAAACUCCUGCAAACAUUUUUGAGCCAAGAAGUUACAUGGUGAGAGGAUGUAUAUUUGCGAUUUGUCAAGAAAUUACCUUGAGAGUCUACCUUUUAAAUUCUUUCUUAUGGAUUUAUUGUUCUAGGGUAUAUUUGGAUAUAUAUCGUUCUUUGGAAAAUAUUUUAUGUGUUGUGUAAAAAUGGGAUGGAAUAUUGUUAUAUCUAAUAUUUCUGUGAAUUCUAAUGUGUUGGAAUAUAUUUUUCAUUGUUUUUGUUUAUGUGUUUAAAAAUUGGAUGGAAUAUUGUGUACACCCAAUAUUCCUAGUGAAUUCUACAUUGGAUUAAUUAAUAUGUAUUCACAAAAUUGGAUUUAAAGUGUUCUAAUUAUUCUAAAAUUUUCCUUUAAAAUGUCCUUUGCUUACAUAUAAGAAAUAUUCGAAAUCUGUGUUUGGAUAUAUCAACACUAAUCAUCAAAUAUAUUAUGCUGAAAGAAAUGCGGAUAUGUGGAGUUAUAGGAUUUGGGAACAAAGGCAUCUCCUGCAAGCGGUUUAGAUGAAUUGUUUGGAGAGAUUUUAUUGUGAGAGGAUGUUAACAUGUGUUUUUUAAGAAGUUUAAUUGGAAGGCUACUUUUUAAAUUCUUUCUUGUAGAUUAAGUGUUCUAGUGCUAUUUGGAUAUAUAUCAUUCUAUCGAAAUAUAUUUUG
rnacentral:lncRNA from 1 species